AAGGCAGUCGCUCAGUGGUAGAGCAUCUGCUUUGCAUGCAGAAGGUCACAGGUUCAAUCCCCAACAUAUCUGUUUCU